rnacentral:lncRNA from 1 species
GAGCCCAUUCAGCCACACUGGGAGAGAAACCACUCAACUACCGGGGGUGGGAGACCACCCUUAUGUCCAUUCUCUGCUGAGAGCUGUUCCGUCACUGGAUAAAAUUAUUCUCUGCCCUUCUCACCCUUCAAUUGACAGCAUAUCCUCAUUCUUCUUGGAUGUGGGACAAGAGCUUGAGAACUGCGAAACACAGGAUCCCCUGAAAUGCUGGGCACACUGACUAGCCUCUUGUAUAGAGUCUCAAGCCUGUGGCCAGAAGCAGCUGUGUGAAGUAGCCGCUGUGAUGGAUUGGGACCACAGAUACCACUUUGGAAGGAAAGGUUCCAGAAACCAAAGCUUGGGCCAUGGGUCUCUGGGAAACUGCAGCAGGAGUUUAGAGUCUAAUGGAUGGAACACAGAAGCAGGAAAAAAAUUGCUGUAGAAUAUGAUAAAGAUUAAUAGAGGAGUCUGCAAUAAAGACUGACAGAUUGGAAAGAUACUUAAAAAACAAAUCAGCAGGACUUAGCAGGUUAUUGAAUGUGGGAUGCUGGCAAUUUUAAGGAAAAAAUAGUGUUCACGGUACUCCUUUGUAAGUAUAGACAUGCCUCUGCAGAGAACCAUUUUUCUGAAAUUGAUAUAUACAGAUAAAUUGCAAUGGAUAGCUUGCUAGCUAUUUGGAGAAGUCACCUGGAAAAGUCAUAUUGCAAUUUAAAUAUCAUAACGAUGGAGUAUAAAGUUUGGACUGG